rnacentral:rRNA from 1 species
UACAGAGGGGGCAAGCGUUGUCCGGAAUUACUGGGCGUAAAGCGUGCGCAGGCGGUUUUGUAAGUCUGUCGUGAAAUCCCCGGGCUCAACCUGGGAAUUGCGAUGGAGACUGCAAGGCUAGAAUCUGGCAGAGGGGGGUAGAAUUCCACGUGUAGCAGUGAAAUGCGUAGAGAUGUGGAGGAAUACCGAUGGCGAAGGCAGCCCCCUGGGCCAAUACUGACGCUCAUGCACGAAAGCGUGGGGAGCAAACGAGGAUUACGAA